GCUGUCCCACGGGAUGCCCUUGGCAGCGUUCUCUUUCAUGCUCUUCAAAGGCUCCCCCUUCCUCAGACCCAACCACCUCCCUUCAUCCCUAUUCUCAACAGAUGACCUCCCCACUCACAAGAUUUCCCAGCUGAAGAAUCAAGAUUGAUGAUAACACAGGAGAAAAAUGUUCCACUGUGGCCAGUUUGUGUUCCUCCAGAGAGUCACUUGCACACACGUGGAUGGGCGGCCAGGAGACCUGGUUGACCCCUGAAGCAGCUGGGAGGCGCCCCCUGCCUGACAUGUAGAAGGAUAAUCAACAUGCUGGUCCUGCAUGAAAGGAAGCUAUCAUAAACUAUUAAUGAGAGAUGUUUCAGCCAUCUUAAAAUUGGUGAGAGAUACAAUUUUCAUUUUGUAAAUUAGAGUCAGCUUGCAGUUAUUCACUGUAAAGAAAUAAAGGAAGAAAAGCUUAUGGGCUUACGUAGUUGGCUUUUGAACAUAUUUUAUAUUAAAUAUAUUUGAGUGUAUUUAUUUCUACUUUUGAACAUAGUUUUCAUCUAGGAUUAUGGAAAGCCAAGCCACUUCCUACAAACUAGACAAAGUACAUUGACGUCAUACCUUUUAAAAAAACCUGAAAAACAAAACCAAACAAAACCAAGAACACUCUGUUUAAAUGAAAUUGCUCAGAAGCCCAAUAUGUAAAAUGAGUAUAAAUGGAGCAGCUCUGGUGCAAGCAGAGAUUGCAGGCCUUGAGCCAAGCCCUCUUGGCUGUCAUGUCCACCUCAUAGUGACACCAAAGGUGCUCUCGGAGACAGCAGUUUACAUAGGCAAAUGAGCACACACAAAGAUGUUCACCAUCAUUAGGCAUUAGGGAAAUUCAAAUGAAAACCACAAUGAGACAUCACUGCACACCUAUCAAAAUAGCUAAAAUAAAAAAGGGUGAUGAUACAAAUACUGGCAAAGAUAGGGAGAAACCAAGUCACACAUGCACUACCAGUGGGAAUGUAAAGUGACACAGCCACUCUGGAAAACAGUUUGACAGUUUCUUAAAAA